GAUUUAUGUCAAUUCGGUCUUGCGUACUUGAUUACUUUACUGUUUUGCUAUAUAAGAGAGAGAGGAUCACAUACACUGAGCCGCGUCGUGUUUUCAAAGUGAAACGAUUACAAAUCCUAUGACUAUACCAUAAAGUAGAUAUUUAUACCUUGUGAGUUUAGGAGCAUGAAACGUUCAUUGUGAGCGGUUUUACAUUUACUCAAGAAAAAAUUGUUGAGCUUCAUGUUUUGUGAAUAGUUUUCCAAUAUUUUUUAAUUUGGUUUACAUGGUAAUGUGAUAAGUUGGAAUUUUGCACCCCUAUACUGUUUUACACCGUUUCAAAAUUAUAAUUAAGGCCAAGUACAUAUAUCUUCUUUUCGUUCUUCUUUUUGGUAAUUGUGCAUAAAUUGAUCUCAAGAAAACGGUUAAAUCUGAAGUUUAAACCAUAAAUAUGGGAUAAUAGAAUAGCGUGAUCUUUUUGUGAGAAGUUGAGGAAGCCGGAGGAAGGGACACAGAAAAAAAAGAAAAAAAAAGAAUUUUUUAAAGAGUUCUAAGUUGGAAAAGUGUGAAAAAAGCGGAUUUGACCGUGUGUUGCUUAGUAAGUUGGCAUGUGUGUGCAAUGAUGUGGAGAUCUAUUACCACUUGAUCCUCUACUUUGGACUAUUCUUUUAUGGCCUUAAGUAUCCGAAUUGUAGAAGCUUCGAAUUUUUUUCAUGUAAAAAUCCUCUGUUAAAAAUUCACAACUGGUGCAUUUAACGGUGAUAUUCUUUCUGAAGCUAUGGACAAGUCGAUACAAUUAUGUCUUGCGGUUUUUAAAAGUUGAUUGCUCCGUUUGCUUUACUUUUAUCUUACGCAUAUAAUGAGCAUCCCUUGAGAGAAACUUGUGUGUUCUAUUGUUUUAAAGUGUAAUGACUUGUGAGUUUUGAAUCGAGGCUAUAGGUUGUUUUGUUAUGAGAAUGCGUAAUGGUUAAACUUUGGGGAAUGGACUCUAUAAAUUUACAUUAAACUCUCUCGUUUAUAUUGCACUUGACGGUUUGCUAGAUUUCUUAGCACGAUUGGGUUGAUUUGAAUUGCUUGCAAUUGUAAUUUUUGUUUAGAAGUUAUGUUAAAUUAUUUGAUACAUUGCAUGAUGAAGUUAUUGUUUGUGGGUUCAUGACUUUGGAAGUCCUCACAGACAACCACUCAUCCACUAGAAAAAAUUUAUGGGUUGUAAGGCUCGAUGGCAAUACGCUAAUGGCAUUCGGGACUCUUACGAAGAGAGAUUAUCUUUUUAACUUUUGUUUAAUUUUGCAAGGAACUAGGCAAAAGGUUAAUUGGUGGGUAUGAUUGACUGGCUAAUUAUAAGUUCAAGCGCUAUUAAAACCGACCCCUACAGUUGCCCUAUAUAAGCUAAAUUAUGUCCUUUUUAUCAUGUUUUUCGUAUAACAUUCGUGUUCAAAUUCAUUGCAGAUAAAUGAUGAUAAAAAAGAGGUUUAGAGCUUUAAAGUUGAACAGAGUAUGUGCAGGACGCAUGUCAAAAAUCGUAUGUCGAAUAUAAUGAAAGAUAACGUCGUUGGAAAGGUCUCCAUUAAUUUAUACAAAGUUUUACGUCUAAACGAGCAUUAGAUAUAGAGAUCUCAAGACGUUUCAAAAUAGACUAGAAGAUGGAGAAAAAAAAGGUCAAAAAAGGCAAAAAUUACACUUAAGUUUCGAACUCUAAGCGCUAAAAAUAAGUUUUUGUAUUUUGAUCAUAAUGUUUUACUCGAUAUCCGAUAAUGAUUUCUAAAGUUAUGGACAGAUCUCCAAGGGCUACAUUUUGUCUCUAAGAGCAUUGGCUAAUUCAAUUUAAAGUUAUCAAAAUCGAGCUGCAAGAUUACGGGUAAAAAAUACCUGAGAGUUCGAACGCCCAUAUUAGGGUUCGAACUAUAAGAAGAAAUGGAAGGUAGGGUUAGAACCCUCUAUCUACAGUGGAAAUAUGCGAGAGCUGAAAAUUAGAAUUGUGACUAGGGUUCGAAUCCUCUUGAGAGUUCGAAACCAAGGCAAAAUUGAUAGAUUUUUUUUUUGAAACUUAGUCUCGGUAUUUUGGCCUAAUAUUUGACUCAGAUGUCAAUUGAGCUGAGUUUUGAUUGCGUUGGAAAGAAGAUUCAAGGCCGACAACUGUAUAUCUAAUAGUAAAUUUGAGGAAUAGAGUUCUAAUGUGGCCAAAAUCGAGCUGGAACGUACAGGCAGAAAGCAAAAUGUGUAGGAAUCCUAAUCCUACUAGGACUCUAAUUUGUAAAGUCUAUAAAUAAGUAUUAUAUCUUAUGAUCGAAAUAUGCUUUAGUUAGGGUUUAUUUUCAGGCUCUUAGGUUAGUUUUCUAUUAUUUUUAGGUUUUACAUUAUUUUUAUUAAUUACUUUCAAGUUUUAUUAAUUAAUAUAAUGUUUUACGUAAUGCUUUCAAUAACGUCAUUGUUGUUUUCGGUAGCAGGUUUGGCUAAUUUUCCUAACUCGGGAUCGAUUGUGAAGGUUGAUUGAGGAUCAAGGAUGACCUUGGAGGUAUUU
rnacentral:lncRNA from 1 species